ensembl:lncRNA
GCGGGGACACGGCCUGGGGGGGCGGCCCGCGGGGCCCGGGCAGGUCUCGGCCUCCCGGGGGGACCGUGAGGGCUCGGGAGAGGGUGAGGAGCCGCUUCGCUCCCGGAGAGAGGAGGUUGCGUCGGGGUUUUGUAAAAAGAGGGGGAGGGGUGGAAGCAAGAGUUGAAAGGGAAGUUAACAGGAUCCCGGUUACGCUGUAAGCCCGGAGACGCAUUAACACGUGGAUUGCUUUCUUCAUUAACUCUGACACGUCUCCUAGAACGGUGGUUCGGGAUAAAAUGCCACUUCCAAUAUUCGGAAUUACUCAUUCCGCUCUGCUCUGCCCUCAGCCCAUCCAUUCCGGCUCUGGCUGUACGGUAUAUUCCCGAAUACAAUGGCAUCGCCCCCAAAUACUCGAACUCCGCGCACAAACAAACAAACACUGAAUAAAGUUACAAACGAGAUUAUGGCCGGAGUUAUUUGUCCCUGCAGCAAGGCGUCAAUUGUUCUAACAGAUGUAGGGGCGCUAAGAGGAUUUAAACCACGCGAAUUUAAUAAACCAGAUUAGCAAUAGGUGCUUCCCACAGAUGCUGGGAACCGCACAGCACAUCCACUCCACGUUAUCUAUCGGAGCACAGCGCUGCUUGAGAGGGCUGCGGGACAUUUGCGAAGGAUGCGAGCGGGUUUCAUACAAGCACGGUCUGUCCCCUCGAAAACAAACUUUCUAUUCGCAUGGAAGCUCCCGCUGCACGCCCACGGGCACACGCACAGCAGUGGCUCAGACACACCGGGGGACGCAUUCCGGGAUGUUACCUGUUGUGGUGCCAUCGCUCCGCAGCGCUGCGCCGAAGGGGAGAGGGGAGCGGGCGAGGGCGGCGCGGGGCCCGGCGCACCUCGGGGCGGUGAUUGGAAGCAGACCCGGCCGGGCUGCAGCGGAUUUUCCCUCCCUCCGAGGGCUAAGAAGCCGAUUUGGGAGUUUGAAGGGAAUAGGUUUCAGCGUCCAUAUUUGUUCUGGUGCACUUGUAAAAUGCGAUUUGAAGAGGAUCUUUAGCUCUCUGAUUGUCUUUGUAUUGUUUUUCUUGAAACGGAUCUUUUGCCCUUAAUGAAUCCCCACACAGCUGGACAGCUCCUUCUCGGACACUGAGAGCGCUAACCCCAAACUGACCCCAAUUUGACACCACAAGAUGAAAUUUUACCGCCUGUUAAAACCAUUUCCAGCCCCGGCCAAAGGAGCUGGCUGUUGACUGAGAUGCACUUCCACACCGGACACCUCAUUUCUCUUUGGGCUUUGGGGCCGAUCUAAAAAGAAAAACAAAAAACAGAAAACCCAAAAAACGAUAAUAAAAAAAAAAGCCCAGCACGCACCGCACCUCCUCACCACUCACACUUGUCCUGGGAACAGCCUCUGCCGUGAAAGUGAUGCACGAGAAAUGGAAAUUGGCCAAUUGAAUUUUCCCGAAUGGCCGUGUUUUACAAGAAAUACGGCGCAACGCUGAAAAUAAAAAUAAUAACAAUAAUAAUUAAAAAGUAAAUUAAAAAUGACCUAAGGACGUAGAAGCCCCCCAGCCCCGGGUGCACGGAUCCCAUUUCCCUCCGAGCUCCCAAAAGCAUCUUUGUUAGAGCUGCGUACUUUCACUGAAGGGCGCUGCACUGACAUUCUCUUUUAAUGGUCAAACUGUAGCGCUUUAUAACCGCGUUCUCUGCGUGCCUUAAUCCACUGGGAUAGUGAGGAGGAAAAAGGCUUCGACUCUUUUCAAGGAGAAAAAAAAAAGACACAAGAGGAACGUGAAAGCCCCCCCUUCCCCCCCCCUCGUUUGCCAGAUGAAAUUUCACUUUCUCUCAAGUUAAAAAUCAUUUUUAAAAGUUGGUCCCUGUCCCACCCGCACAGCGGGGCGAGGCAGCGCGGGGGGGGUCGUUGGUUUGGGGAAUUAAAAAUAAAAGCCAAACUGAGCAAAUGAAAGGAGCAGCACAGAACGCUGCUAAAAAAAAAAUUCUUUGGCUGCUUUUUUUCUUUCUUUCUUUCUUUCCUUUCUUUCUUUCUUUCUUUUUUUUUUUUUUCUUCCCAGCUUGGAUUAUAGAUUGCUGGCUAACAAUUCUCUGCUCUGAAGAUUCGGACUUAAAGGAGCUCCUGUGAAAAACAGAAUUAUUAAAAAAUAAAAAAAUGAAAAAUAAAAGCGAGUCUAAAAUGAUAUCCUAAACAAUGACGUGCCUUCUGCUAUGGGAGCAAAGUCGUGUAAAAAAACUUCUCUUUGAGAAGAAGAGUGGUGAAGUUCUCUCCCAGUCUGAGCUCUGAGCAAACACACGGAGCCCUCAGCGGGACCGGAUUACCGUUGCACGGCCGCGGCACAGAGACAGAGCCCCUCUCGGUGCCACUGACCCUCUCGGAGCGAGGCGCGCUCGGGCACAGCAGGGGGCACGGCUGCAAAAUCCGUUUGGGAGCUGCAAAUAUUUACAACGCGUCCCUGAGGUUCCCGCAUGGGCUGCGUCGCCAUGAAGGGACGCCUCGGGAGUUUGGAACUCGGGCAUCCUUGUGGCGGGGUGGGGGGGUUGGGGGGUGGGGGGAGGAGAGAAGAAAAAAAUAAUCGCAAGAAAACAAAUAGCAUUCACCGCUGAGCAGAUCUCUCAAAAAUCUGUUCGAAACGUACAGCUGUAAAAGUAGGAAAAGAUUUGCAUAACCUCCUGCUCUGUAGGUCUCCGCGCACCCAAAGGAUUAGCCGAGCAUUCAUUACCAUGAAUAUCCUGAAUUACGUUCCCGAUUUAUACGACGGAGUAUAAAAUACUGCACGAGCGUCCCCUCUUUUCCCUGCGAAACGCAUCGACUUCACCACUGCUCGAAAGAGAUCUGCACACUGAGGGCUUUCUACUCACCUCUCCUCCCAGUCCCGGGAAAGCCAGGCGCAGCCAUUCGGUUGCUCUUAGGAUUUAGCUCUAAUCUCGGAGGAGAUCCUCUCAGAAAAGCACCGCGGGGUCGUGCCCGGCUCCGGGCCGCGAACGAGGGCAGCUCCGGCCGACACCGGGGCCGACACCGGGGCCGCUUCUCCCCUUCUCCAGCCCGCAGCCGCCGGGCCGGGUGCUGCCGGAGCUCGGGGGAUGCCCACUGGCGUCCGUCAGCCCCACGCUAUCUUUCUUUAUAUGUGAGGGCUGAUUUCCCGCAGACAUCAUUGUUAUGAUGGCUCAUUUAAUCAAACUGUUUAAUUGCUCCGGUAAUCACUAUCAUCAUCACAGGUACUCAAUCAUUCAUCAUUUUGGAGGGCUUUAUUGACCUCUGGAGCUCAUUCCCCGCUCCUAUUAAAAUCAGGCCAAAUAUCUGCAACUGCCCCUGAGUCAUUUUCUUAAAGUUAAAAAAAAAACAAAAAAAGUUAAAAUCAUCACUCUCAUCCUGAAAAGCAACGCAAAACACGCCAACCCCUACCCGAACAAAUCACAUCAUUCUUAUUUUUUUUUUUUUCCUGCCGUGUAUUUCUAAAAGCCACCUAUGUACGAGGCCACAUUCACCACCGGGUACACAAUCAUUGAUAAAUCCCGCUAUUAACGGGAUAGUCUGGUUUAGAUUUUAUGUGCAGGGGACCGUGAACGAGGCUGGGGGCUGGGGAGGACAAAACUGCAGCGAUCGAUAGUCGGAGGCUCGCUCCUCCCCUCACUGGAGGCGCCCCGUGAUUGAUGAGCCCGGGGAGCGCCGGUAAUUGACUGCGCUAGGGUAAGGCAUGCUCGGGCUGAGCGCGGCGAUUGGCCGAGGGAGCAUACCAAAAUUACCGCGUGUGUGCGCGUGUGUUUGGAAAAGUUCAUCUGGUGCUCGGGGCUGGGGGUGCAUCCUCUCACUUCAUUUGCCAAACCGUCCUCCUGUAAUUAGCGCUCCCGUUAGAGGCAUUACCGGGCUCACACCCCGGCGCGCAUCCCGUCGAGGUACGGCAAAGUCCACGGACGCGCCCACGCGAGUCCGCCGCUGCCCGCCGGCUCCGCUCGGAGGGAACGCGUACAGCGGCCGCGGCACAUCUGGGUCUCUCCCGGCAGAGCCGGGCCGACCUCCGUUCCGAGCCCCUCUCCCACGCUCCGUUGGCAGCCCAGAAAGGGAUUCCCCUUCC